CAGCAGCCGCGGUAAUACGUAGGGUGCAAGCGUUAAUCGGAAUUACUGGGCGUAAAGCGUGCGCAGGCGGUUUGUUAAGACAGAUGUGAAAUCCCCGGGCUUAACCUGGGAACUGCGCUUGUGACUGCACAGCUAGAGUAUGGCAGAGGGGGGUGGAAUUCCACGUGUAGCAGUGAAAUGCGUAGAGAUGUGGAGGAACACCGAUGGCGAAGGCAGCCCCCUGGGCCAAUACUGACGCUCAUGCACGAAAGCGUGGGGAGCAAACAGGAUUAGAUACCCGCGUAGUCCCUGUCUCUUAUAC
rnacentral:rRNA from 1 species